CUGCUGCCUUCCGUAGGAGUCUGGUCCGUGUCUCAGUACCAGUGUGGGGGACCUUCCUCUCAGAACCCCUAGACAUCGUCGCCUUGGUGGGCCGUUACCCCGCCAACUAGCUAAUGUCACGCAUGCCCAUCCGUCUCCGGAGUCGCCUCCUUUGGCCGAAAGAAGAUGCCUCCCCUCGGCCACAUGCGGUAUUAGGCCGGAUUUCUCCGGGUUAUCCCGCUGAAACGGGCAGGUUGCAUACGCGUUACUCACCCGUGCGCCGGUCG
rnacentral:rRNA from 1 species